rnacentral:rRNA from 1 species
AGAGUUUGAUCCUGGCUCAGGAUGAAUGCUGGCGGCAUGCCUAAUACAUGCAAGUCGAGCGGUAACAGGACUAGCUUGCUAGUUGCUGACGAGCGGCGGACGGCUGAGUAACGCAUGGGAACGCACCCCAAACUGAGGGAUAACUAGUCGAAAGAUUAGCUAAUACCGCAUGUGAUCUUCGGAUUAAAGCCUUCGGGCGGUUUGGGAGCGGCCUGUGUACGAUUAGCUAGUUGGUGAGGUAAUGGCUCACCAAGGCGACGAUCGUUAGAUGGUUUGAGAGGAUGAUCAUCCAGACUGGAACUGAGACACGGUCCAGACUCCUACGGGAGGCAGCAGUAGGGAAUCUUUCACAAUGGGCGAAAGCCUGAUGGAGCAAUGCCGCGUGCAGGACGAAGGCCUUCGGGUUGUAAACUGCUUUUAUAAGCGAGGAAUAUGACGGUAACUUAUGAAUAAGGAUCGGCUAACUACGUGCC